UACGUAGGGGGCUAGCGUUGUCCGGAAUCAUUGGGCGUAAAGAGCGUGUAGGCUGCUCGGUAAGUCCGCUGUAAAAGUCAAAGGCUCAACCUUUGAAUGUCAGUGGAUACUGCCGGGCUAGAGUCCGGAAGAGGCGAGUGGAACUCCUGGUGUAGCGGUGGAAUGCGCAGAUAUCAGGAAGAACACCAACGGCGAAAGCACUCUGCUGGGCCGACACUGACACUGAGAGACGAAAGCUAGGGGAGCAAAUGGG
rnacentral:rRNA from 1 species